GAACAUUUCCUAGUCCUAAAGGAAUAAUCGGAAAAUAAUACCCUGACGGUCUUUUCACAAGUGUACCGAGGCAUGGUAUCACAAUCGAGCGAAUUGAUGCUUCUAUUCAGAAACCAUGAUGCAUUUCGUGAAUGCGAACAGCAACGGCAUCAACAGCGGUAGCGUCAAUCAUUUGGGCGAUCCGGAAGAUGCCAUUCAAAAAUUCCUUGUGAAUCUCUUUCCGUUCGCCUAUCACUUGAUUACGGAUUACAUGAAUUACUUGAAGGAUACAUUCAACGAUAUACAGUCGUUUGACAGGAUAUCAAAGAAGAUCAAUUCUUCAUAAAUUCAUUGCAAAAGAGCGCUGAGGUUCUCAGCUAAACUGGUCAGUUGUAGAUGUAAAAUAGAACGUAUAAAUUAGAGAUGAUGUAACAGUAGUAAAGUAGAUGUAACAGAGAACAUUUAAAUUAAAGAAGGUUCAAUUGCGGAUCAACGUAUAAAUUUUUAAAAGUUAAGAAAAUGUUAUGAGCGUAUUUCACCACAGCCAGCAGGAAGAAGAAAUUUUAACAGAGCCACGUAAACUGAAAUGAGCAUUGAUUGAAAUUAGGCUCAGACAUUUCGCUUGAUAUUACAACCAGUUGUUAGUCCUUUGCCUUAUAUUUUAGUACAUUUAUAUGCCAUCAUAUACAUUGGUAUGAAUAUCAUUAGGCGAAUUUUUAUGAAAGCUAGUUAACUUUCCGUAGUUUGCAAAAGGUUAUUGUUUAAAAAUUGGUGAGGACGCUACUCAAUUCUAGUGAGUUACUAAACAGAGCUUUUUUUUUAUUUCUUAUUAUUUUAUACAAUAUUUUGCUUAGGCCUAAGAAAAAAUCAGCUUACAUUCUAUGAAGCGCAGAGCUUAAGUGUUAGAUUAUGUGCUUCCUAAUUCUAUGAAUUGUGUUUUAUUUAUGUAUUCUCUCCAUAUGUCGUUUAUAAAUCUUUGAAACUUUUCAACCCGAAAGGCAUUCGGAGGUAUUCAUAUAGUACUGCCGGAGUAACAAAAGCUGUUUUCUUGAUGCCAAUAAAAUCUGGUGGUAACUUUUUGCUAAAUCUAUAGAGCUAAAGUAUUGUGCCUUGCCCAAUUUAUCCAAGAUUCCUUCGACAUUUGGUAAAGGAUACUUAUCGUCUACAGUUAAUUGAUUUAAUCAUUUCGUAUGAAUAAAUCAUAUGAUUCAUUAAAAUCCAUAAAUAACAAUAUCUUUCUGACGUUUUAUGGAUAUUCGAAUUGGACAAGAUUUUUUUAUAAUGCUCUUAUGUUUGAGUCUGAGUCAACUAGAGCGUAAAAUUGUUUCUCAAGAAUUGUUAAUACAAUUAUAAUUGUACUUUCCCAAGAUUCCGAGGCUACUUUGUAAAAA